AGCGAACAGACGAGGAGCUUGCUCCUCUGACGUUAGUGGCGGCACGGGUGAGUAACACGUGGAUAACCUACCUAUAAGACUGGGAUAACUUUCGGGAAACCGGAGCUAAUACCGGAUAAUAUAUUGAACCGCAUGGUUCAAUAGUGAAAGACGGUUUUGCUGUCACUUAUAGAUGGAUCCGCGCCGCAUUAGCUAGUUGGUAAGGUAACGGCUUACCAAGGCAACGAUGCGUAGCCGACCUGAGAGGGUGAUCGGCCACACUGGAACUGAGACACGGUCCAGACUCCUACGGGAGGCAGCAGUAGGGAAUCUUCCGCAAUGGGCGAAAGCCUGACGGAGCAACGCCGCGUGAGUGAUGAAGGUCUUCGGAUCGUAAAACUCUGUUAUUAGGGAAGAACAAAUGUGUAAGUAACUAUGCACGUCUUGACGGUACCUAAUCAGAAAGCCACGGCUAACUACGUGCCAGCAGCCGCGGUAAUACGUAGGUGGCAAGCGUUAUCCGGAAUUAUUGGGCGUAAAGCGCGCGUAGGCGGUUUUUUAAGUCUGAUGUGAAAGCCCACGGCUCAACCGUGGAGGGUCAUUGGAAACUGGAAAACUUGAGUGCAGAAGAGGAAAGUGGAAUUCCAUGUGUAGCGGUGAAAUGCGCAGAGAUAUGGAGGAACACCAGUGGCGAAGGCGACUUUCUGGUCUGUAACUGACGCUGAUGUGCGAAA
rnacentral:rRNA from 1 species